UGAGGAAUAUUGGUCAAUGGGCGAGAGCCUGAACCAGCCAAGUCGCGUGAAGGAAGACUGCCCGCAAGGGUUGUAAACUUCUUUUGUAUGGGAUUAAAGUCACCUACGUGUAGGUGUUUGCAGUUACCAUACGAAUAAGCAUCGGCUAACUCCGUGCCAGCAGCCGCGGUAAUACGGAGGAUGCGAGCGUUAUCCGGAAUUAUUGGGUUUAAAGGGUGCGUAGGUUGCAAGGGAAGUCAGGGGUGAAAAGCUAUAGCUCAACUAUGGUCUUGCCUUUGAAACUCUCUAGCUAGAGUGUACUGGAGGUACGUGGAACGUGUGGUGUAGCGGUGAAAUGCAUAGAUAUCACACAGAACUCCGAUUGCGCAGGCAGCGUACUACAUUACAACUGACACUGAAGCACGAAAGCGUGGGUAUCAAACAGGAUUAGAUACCCUGGUAGUCCACGCAGUAAACGAUGAAUACUAGAUCUAUGCGAUAUGACAGUAUGGGUCUAAGCGAAAGCGAUAAGUAUUCCACCUGGGGAGUACGCCGGCAACGGUGAAACUCAAAGAGAUUGGCGGGGGUCCACACAAGCGGAGGAACAUGUGGUUUAAUUCGAUGAUACGCGAGGAACCUUACCCGGGAUUGAAAUGUAGAUGCAUGAGGCUGAGAGGUCUCUUCCCUUCGGGGC
rnacentral:rRNA from 1 species